GCAUAUAUAUACACACAAAAGGGGUGGCGGCGGCUCGAUCUAUUCCGUCGUCGCUUCGUCCUCCGGCUGCCGAGACGAAGAGAUUCACCUCAUCCUCUCACCACGCAGCCAUGGCUUCUUCAUCCCCGCCAUCCCGCGCAGCCAUCUGAGGUCCCGCCUUCUUCCGUACUGUAGUUGUUCUCGACAGCUCAUACUACGAGGGGGUUAAAGACGGCUGGUCAUAUCUAGCACCUGAAGAAGCAACGGAAGUAUCGGCUAGUCUGAAGGAUGUCCGACACAAAUGCAACAUCGGCAUCGCAGGAAGAGAAUGUCCUUAAGAGAAAGUCAGAUGAUGUGGGAUGGGAGUACGGGAGUCUAGCUGAUGCUUCCAACAAGGAUAAAGUGAAGUGUAUGUUCUGUAACCAUGUGAGCACGGGAGGUGUUUAUCGUCACAAGCAGCAUGUGGCUCAUAUUGGUAAUGGUGUGGUCAAAUGCAAGAAAAGCUCUCAGGAAGCUAAAGCCA